rnacentral:rRNA from 1 species
AAGCUCGUAGUUGAACCUCGGUACCUAAGGGGUAAGCGUCAUCGUUCCUGUUCUCUCGAAUGGAAGAGUAGAGGCGGUCGGUGGCGUCCCCUUGGGGCCCCAAUGGCGGGCUGACCCUUUAUAAGUGGUUGGAGCGCGAGGUGCCCUUUGUCGGGUGUCUCGUGCGACCCGCCGGUUCACCUUGAAGAAACUGGAGUGCUCAGAGCAGGCGCGGCCCUUGGGGCCGAAACGCCUGCACAACAUCGCAUGGAAUGAUUGAACAAGACCUCGGCUCAAUCUCUGUUGGUCUGACGAGGCUGAGGUAAUGAUUAACAGGAACGGACGGGGGCAUCCGUACUGCGACGCUAGAGGUGAAAUUCUUGGACCGUCGCAGGACGAACAAAAGCGAAAGCAUUUGCCAAGAACGCUUUCAUUAAUCAAGAACGAAAGUCAGAGGAUCGAAGGCGAUCAGAUACCGCCCUAGUUCUGACCGUAAACUAUAUGAACCAGCGAUCCGCUGAACGCCCAGCACGACGGCUCAGCGGGAAGUCUCCGGGAAACCAGAGUCUUUGCAUUCUGGGGAGAUUAUGUUUGCAAAUACGAAAUUUGAAGGAAUUGACGGAAGGGCACCACCAGGAGUGGAGCCUGCGGCUUAAUUUGACUCAACACGGGGAACCUCACCGGGCCCGGACACCGGAAGGAUUGACAGAUUGAGAGCUCUUUCUCGAAUCGGUGGGUGGUGGUGCAUGGCCGUUCUUAGUUGGUGGAGCGAUCUGUCUGGUUAAUUCCGAUAACGAACGAGACUCCAACCUGCUAACUAGACGGCGGACACGUAAACGGCUGGUGAAGGGUACGGGGCAAUUGUGCGUUCGGUUGUGGACUUUGUGGAUAUGGUUUUGGCACUCCUUUCUGGGGAGUCUGCUGGGCCUUGAAGCUUAGUUUUGCUUCCGUUUCGUCUUUUGUCUGCCGCCUUUGCCCACCUGCUUGAUGGGUGCUCAUUGGGGCUGUUGGCUUAAUCCCGAGUGCUGCUGCUGC